rnacentral:lncRNA from 1 species
UAGCUAACAUUUCCCGAUGUUUUCAGGGGUUGUUCAUUGUCCCAUGUGCAGAAUAUAGAUUUUUUUUUUUUUAAGAUUGAGAAUGCCACCAUUUUCAAUCACAGUCUUUCAGUCAUUUUAACUAAAUACAGUGUGCUACAACCUGUUUCUUCUCCACUUUCAAAAUGGCUAUCAACUUUUAAAAUGAUUUUUUAACUUUUUCAUGUGUGUGUGCAAUAUAAAUUAGUUUCCAAAUUGUUAAGUGAAAUCUUUGAAUUGGAAGAGAUCUUAGGGAUUAUUUGGCCUAACCCUCUUAUUUUACAUGUGAAGAAACUGAGGCCCAACAUGGUCAGGAGACUUCUUAGUAGAAGAGGCAGGACUGGAUCCUAAGUGUCCUGAUCCACAUCCUAGGGCUUAUCCAGUAUCACAUGAUGCAACCACUACUUAAGUGAAGGGGAUAGAUUCUUCUUUGGGAGAUUAUUUCUUUCUAUUGACAUAUUUUAGCCUUUCUGGAUUAACUGUGCUCCGUAACUAGGUUCACUAAUCAUACAUUAGAAAAUAAUUGCUACAAUCAUAUAUGAUGAAAUAUUUGUCCCCUGGGGAGACAAGAUCCAGUACAAAAAUUCCUUUUGGAAGUGAAAAUUCUAAAGCCAUCUGGCAUUUUUUGCUUCUAAGCUCAUUUAGGUAAUGCAUUUCAGAAUACUUUCAUGAUCGCUUCAAAGAAUCAUGUUUUAGUCUUUAUCUUUGUUAGAUAUUAGUUAACUUUUUUGGUAGAUUGUUACUACAAACAUUUAAAUGAGGAAUCACACUGAAAAUCUUUGAAGAACAAUCUUAGUAUUUUUGUCCUGUGCAAUAACUUUGGUUUUCACUUCAUUGACAAGGGAAUUACUUGACUGGGGAAGCUAACUAACUUAUUUGUAAUCAUGCAGCACAUUUGUGGUAAAGAAAAGAUUAUAGACUACUCAGGUUUUUUGUUUGUUUGGUUUGGUUUGAUUUUUGUUUUAUUUUACAAAAAAAAAAAA